CGGCGGACGGGUGAGUAACGCGUGGGUAACCUGCCUCAUACAGGGGGAUAACAGUUGGAAGCGGCUGCUAAUACCGCAUAAGCGCACAGUACCGCAUGGUACCGUGUGAAAAACUCCGGUGGUAUGAGAUGGACCCGCGUCUGAUUAGCUAGUUGGUGGGGUAACGGCCUACCAAGGCGACGAUCAGUAGCCGACCUGAGAGGGUGACCGGCCACAUUGGGGCUGAGACACGGCCCAA
rnacentral:rRNA from 1 species